ensembl:lncRNA
GGAGAAUCCCAGGGACAGGGAGCCUGAUGGGCUGCCUUCUAUGGGGUCGCACAGGGUCGGACACGACUGAAGCGACUUAGCAGCAGCAGCAGCAAGUCUGUUUGGGUUGCUGUAACAAAAUAACACAGACUGUGUGACUGUGGUAUUAUUUCUCACAGUUACAGAGGCAGGAAGGUCCAAAUUCAAGGUGCUGGCAGGUAUAGUGUCUGGUGAGCACCAGCUUCCUGGUUCCCACAUGACUCUUUUCACCUGGAGGAAGAGGUACCUAGAAAGGUGCUUUCUAGGGUCUCUUGUAUAAGAGCACUAACCCCAUUCCUGGAGGCUCUGUUCUUAUGACCUAAUCACCCCAAAGCCCCACUUCCAAAUAUUAUUACACUGGGUAUAAGGUUUGAACACAUAAAUUUGGGGGGGCACAGUCUAUAUCAACUAUUUUAUUAUAUGCUCUGCCUUGUAUUUUCUUGUCAAAGAAAGCCUAAGUAGGGCAGGUUAGCUGGCAGGAGAAAAAUGUUAAACUUUUCACAUUUUAUGUUUUCUCUGAAGGCCCACUGGCUCUCACCAUUUAUGGAAUUGCCUUGGCUACUCAAGGGACCAGAUGUUCCCUGGGGUUGUGACCCACUGCUCCUGCAUUUAGCCUCCUGGCUGGCUGCUUGCUUGCUUGGACUCAGCCCAGUACAGAUGGCAUUACUGCUAAAUCAGAGAGAAUGACACUCGGUUUCCUGGUCCUCCUUCAAGUUGCUACUUUGUUGGUAGUCAGAGACCUCUAACUCCUUACGGAAGGUGUGAUAUUGAGGAGAAAAGAAGUAACACAGUGUGAGUUAAGAGGGCGAGAGUGACAAGCCCAGAGGACAACGAGAUGACCAGAUCAACUCCUAUGGAGAAAAAGUGAAGCUUCCCUGAAAGUCUGGAGGAGAUUUGCUCGGUAAAGGCUAGUAAGGGAGAUGCUGCCAUGGAGUGAGGAGGACCCCAGGGACGGCAGAAUGAGAUAUGAAGGCAUUCCUGGGAAGCCCCCAGCUAACAGGUUCAUAUGUGCGGAUCACUGGAUAAUGGGAUCCACAGCCACAGAAGCACAGUGUCAACACAGUCUGCUACUGCCUAGCGCUCAGUGGUCUCCUUGGAAACCAACGAGGCUGCAGGGAAUCUGGGCGGCAGGUAAGCUGAGCAGGGAGGUGAGUCACAUUCGGAAAGGGCCAAUUCACAAUUCCCUGUGCCUCUGAUUCAUCCCUGCCUACUCCCACGUCUCUCUGUGUAGAGUUCAUUCACAUUACCUCUUGGUGAAUGCUUACCGAGGCCCCAAAGUAAUGCUGGACACUGUACACCUGCUUCUAGGAAGAAACACUCCAUGGAAGAGCUGUCAUCCCCAAAAGAAAUUGAAAGUAUUAGUCACUCAGUCCUGUCUGACUUUUUCAGAUCCCGUGGGCUGUAGCCGGUCAGGCUCCUCUGUCCAUGGAAUUCUCCAGGCAAGAAUACUGGAGUGGGUAGCCAUUUCCUUCUCCAGGGGAUCUUCCCAAUCCAGGGAUUGAACCCAGGUCUUCUGCAUUGGAGGCAGAUUCUUUACUGUCUGAGCCACCAUGGAAGCCCUGAGUCUUCCUCAACUUUCAAUUUAAGAACUUUAAUGAACUUCAAGCUGAGGCUUGUUUUCUGCCAAGCUCCUCCCUUCUCUGUUCUUUGAGCAUCUUGUCUACAGGGGCCAAAUGUGCAGUGGCUCUCAAUACAUUACAAAUAAUGUAAUAAUGGGAGGGGAAGAGGCUCCAGAGUCUUGU